UACGUAGGGUGCAAGCGUUAUCCGGAAUCAUUGGGCGUAAAGCGUUCGUAGGCGGUUUGGAAAGUUUGUAGUUAAAUCUGGUCGCUCAACGAUCAACACGCUACAAAAACUCCCAAGCUAGAGAUUGGCAGAGGCAACUGGAAUUCCACAUGUAGGGGUAAAAUCCGUUGAUAUGUGGAGGAACACCAAAAGCGAAGGCAGGUUGCUGGGCCAUUUCUGACGCUGAGGAACGAAAGCGUGGGGAGCAAACAGG
rnacentral:rRNA from 1 species